rnacentral:rRNA from 1 species
UACGUAGGCAGCGAGCGUUGUUCGGAAUUACUGGGCGUAAAGAGUGCGUAGGCGGUGCUCUAAGUCUGUCGUGAAAUCUCCCGGCUCAACUUGGAGGGUGCCGCGGAAACUGGAAUGCUAGAGUGUGGGAGAGGUAAGCGGAAUUCCUGGUGUAGCGGUGAAAUGCGUAGAUAUCAGGAGGAACACCUGCGGUGUAGACAGCUUUCUGGACCACUACUGACGCUGAGGCACGAAAGCGUGGGGAGCAAACAGG